rnacentral:rRNA from 1 species
CUGUUGCCCGGGACGAACAGCUCGAUUAAUCGAGCCUGACGGUACCGGGUGAGGAAGCACCGGCUAACUCCGUGCCAGCAGCCGCGGUAAUACGGGGGGUGCGAGCGUUGUCCGGAAUCACUGGGCGUAAAGGGCGCGUAGGUGGUUUGAUAAGGGUGUGGUGAAAGUCCGGGGCUCAACCCCGGAUCUGCCGUGCCGACUGUCAAACUCGAGGACUGUAGAGGCAGACGGAAUUCCGGGUGUAGCGGUGGAAUGCGUAGAGAUCCGGAGGAAGACCGGUGGCGAAGGCGGUCUGCUGGGCAGUUUCUGACACUGAGGCGCGACAGCGUGGGGAGCAAACAGGAUUAGAUACCCUGGUAGUCCACGCCGUAAACGAUGGGUACUAGGUGCCUGGGGGAGCGACCCUCUGGGUGCCGGCGCUAACGCAGGAAGUACCCCGCCUGGGGAGUACGACCGCAAGGUUGAAACUC